rnacentral:rRNA from 1 species
GUACUCCGGGGAUAACAGGCUGAUACCGCCCAAGAGUUCAUAUCGACGGCGGUGUUUGGCACCUCGAUGUCGGCUCAUCACAUCCUGGGGCUGAAGUAGGUCCCAAGGGUAUGGCUGUUCGCCAUUUAAAGUGGUACGCGAGCUGGGUUUAGAACGUCGUGAGACAGUUCGGUCCCUAUCUGCCGUGGGCGCUGGAGAACUGAGGGGGGCUGCUCCUAGUACGAGAGGACCGGAGUGGACGCAUCACUGGUGUUCGGGUUGUCAUGCCAAUGGCACUGCCCGGUAGCUAAAUGCGGAAGAGAUAAGUGCUGAAAGCAUCUAAGCACGAAACUUGCCCCGAGAUGAGUUCUCCCUGACCCUUUAAGGGUCCUGAAGGAACGUUGAAGACGACGA